UACGUAGGGGGCAAGCGUUGUCCGGAAUCAUUGGGCGUAAAGAGCGUGUAGGCGGCCCCGAUAAGUCCGCUGUGAAAGUCCAGGGCUCAACCCUGGAAUGCCGGUGGAUACUGUCGGGCUAGAGUCCGGAAGAGGCGAGUGGAAUUCUCGGUGUAGCGGUGAAAUGCGUAGAUAUCGAGAGGAACACCUGCGGCGAAGGCGGUAGCUGGGCCGACACUGACGCUGAGGAGCGAAAGCGUGGGGAGCGAACAGG
rnacentral:rRNA from 1 species